AUACAUGCAGUCGAGCGAACGGACGAGAAGCUUGCUUCUCUGAUGUUAGCGGCGGACGGGUGAGUAACACGUGGAUAACCUACCUAUAAGACUGGGAUAACUUCGGGAAACCGGAGCUAAUACCGGAUAAUAUUUUGAACCGCAUGGUUCAAAAGUGAAAGACGGUCUUGCUGUCACUUAUAGAUGGAUCCGCGCUGCAUUAGCUAGUUGGUAAGGUAACGGCUUACCAAGGCAACGAUGCAUAGCCGACCUGAGAGGGUGAUCGGCCACACUGGAACUGAGACACGGUCCAGACUCCUACGGGAGGCAGCAGUAGGGAAUCUUCCGCAAUGGGCGAAAGCCUGACGGAGCAACGCCGCGUGAGUGAUGAAGGUCUUCGGAUCGUAAAACUCUGUUAUUAGGGAAGAACAUAUGUGUAAGUAACUGUGCACAUCUUGACGGUACCUAAUCAGAAAGCCACGGCUAACUACGUGCCAGCAGCCGCGGUAAUACGUAGGUGGCAAGCGUUAUCCGGAAUUAUUGGGCGUAAAGCGCGCGUAGGCGGUUUUUUAAGUCUGAUGUGAAAGCCCACGGCUCAACCGUGGAGGGUCAUUGGAAACUGGAAAACUUGAGUGCAGAAGAGGAAAGUGGAAUUCCAUGUGUAGCGGUGAAAUGCGCAGAGAUAUGGAGGAACACCAGUGGCGAAGGCGACUUUCUGGUCUGUAACUGACGCUGAUGUGCGAAAGCGUGGGGAUCAAACAGGAUUAGAUACCCUGGUAGUCCACGCCGUAAACGAUGAGUGCUAAGUGUUAGGGGGUUUCCGCCCCUUAGUGCUGCAGCUAACGCAUUAAGCACUCCGCCUGGGGAGUACGACCGCAAGGUUGAAACUCAAAGGAAUUGACGGGGACCCGCACAAGCGGUGGAGCAUGUGGUUUAAUUCGAAAGCAACGCGAAGAAACCUUACCAAAUCUUGACAUCCUUUUGACAACUCU
rnacentral:rRNA from 1 species